UGACACAAGACUUUAUUCCUGUGUUUUGGUUCAGCCCCCAUUUCGAUCACGGGUUGUGCCUUUACAGAUCGGUUACUUUAGGGUGGGUGGGAUGGUUUUGUAGCUGAAACAAAACCACAGCUUUUGAAAUGCCGACUUCAAAGUCCCCCAUUCGUGUCUGCCUUUAACUCUGCCCCACUUUGUGCGCCCGGAGCGUAGGUAGGCUAUAGCAACCACAAACAACAUGACCGACUAUGAAGCUGCAACCGCCUUCCUCGGAGAAUGGGGACGUUUCCAACAGCAGGUGUUUUUCCUCCUCUGUCUGAGCAUCAUCCCUAACGGUUUCACCGGCCUAUCCAUUGUGUUCCUAGCCGACACGCCGCCCCACCGCUGCCUCAUUCCCGCGCACGUCAACGUCACGGCCGCAUGGAGGAACAGCAGCAUCCCGCUGGAGGAGGAGAGCCACAGCGGCGCUUUGGUGCCCAGCAAGUGCUCCAGAUACAAACUCGAAGAUAUACUGAGCUUCUCGGGGAGAGGCUUGCUGCCCGGCGUUGAUGUCAACCUGUCUAAUGUGGCAACAGAAGGCUGCUUGGAUGGGUGGGAGUACGACCAGAGCGUGUACAUUUCUACCAUCAUAUCUGAGUGGGACUUGGUGUGUGAUGACAGUUGGAAGAAGCCACUGACUUCUUCUCUCUUCUUCUGUGGAGUUCUCACUGGCUCCUUCAUUUCGGGACAGCUCUCUGACAGGUAUGGGAGAAAAAUAGUGUUGUUUGUUACUAUGGGAGUCCAGACAGUGUUCACACUCAUCCAGGUCUUCUCUCCAUCCUGGGCUGCGUUCUGCGCCAUAUUCUUUGUUGUAGGGAUGGGCCAAAUCUCCAAUUAUGUGGCUGCGUUUGUGCUAGGAACAGAGAUAUUAGGCCCAUGUGUUCGGACAAUUUUCUCCACUGCGGGUGUGAGUCUUUUCUUUGGUGCAGGCUACAUGCUGCUGCCACUGUUUGCUUUCUUCAUCAGAGACUGGAGGAUGCUUCUCCUAGGCUUCACCCUGCCUGGCUUCCUCUGUGUGCCUCUCUGGUGGUACAUCCCCGAGUCUCCUCGGUGGCUGCUCUCUCAGGGAAGAGUAGAAGAGGCUGAGGCCAUAAUGAGAGAUGCUGCUAAGAGGAACAAAAUCGAGCCUCCGCCGGUCAUAUUUGGUCCUUUACAGAAAGAACUUCAAUCUGAGAGCAGGAAGCCCCACAACAUCUGUGACCUGCUUCGUUCUCGAAACAUCCGCUGGAUCUCUGUCACGCUGUGGCUGGUCUGGAACACCGUGACCAUCGCCUAUUUUGCCCUUUCCCUGAAUACUGCGAACCUUCACGGUAACGCGUACUUCAACUGUUUCCUGUCUGCUGUGGUAGAGAUGCCAGCCUACACUCUGUCAUGGGUUAUGUUUCGCUGGUGUUCCAGACGACUGAGUCUUUUCUCAACCCUUUUCAUGGGAGGAUUGUUUCUACUCUUCAUACAGCUCAUACCAUCAAACCUGAUUUAUCUAGCCAUAACACUCGAGAUGAUGGGGAAGUUUGCAGUGACGACAGCAUUUGCUAUCUUGUACGCAUACACAGCAGAACUCUACCCAACUGUACUGAGGAAUACGUCUGUGGGCACCUGCUCCAUGGCCUCCAGAAUAGGAAGCAUCAUUGCCCCAUACUUCAUUUACUUAAGACUUGAAGCUCCGUGGUAUGAAAUUCUUCUUUUUAUUCUUUGGAAGCUAUUCCGUUUCACUGCCUUACAUCCUCAUGGGAACCCUUACAGCUCUGUCGGGGUUGCUGAGUCUCCUGCUGCCUGAGAGCUAUGGAAUGCCUCUGCCUGACACCAUCAGUCACAUGCAACACUUCCCCGGAUGUUGUCAGAAGACACCUUAUACACUCACCCGCUCCGAAGAAAAGGAAAACGCUGCUGAAAGGAAGUCUCCGGUUGUCCCUUGAUGAAGGAGCAGCACUGAUAUCCGGCUUGAGGCGAAUAACUGGACAAACAUCAUGCCUCCAUCCAUGUUGUCACUGGAUUUGUAAAAUGAUGUGACUUCAACAAGACCAAGGACCAUGACAGUUAUUCAGAUAAUAUAAUGGUGCCUUAAAAUAUCUCCACAAAACUGGAGUAAUGUUUUCUCUGCGACAGCAUCAAAAUACUGUGAAAUGAAAAGUAUAACAAUCCUCUGUACAUCAUAGAUGCUCAGCACCAAUGCAAUUGUUACCGAACUCACAUAAUCCUGCUGUAGUAAAAGAUGAAAAUAGUGUAAUUUUAGUGAAAUAAACAUAUACAUAAAUGUUUUAAUCAGAACUAGUAGCCACGUUGAGUAUAUUAUGAUACAACAGCACCUUUAGCUUCACAUUGAACAGUUGCACAUUUCAUAUUUCAGUUUCUAGUGAAAAUUUUGUAUACAUCUUUGUGAGUUGAGAUAACAUGCACAGAGUGCAAGCACAAUUUAAUCUACUUCAAAAUGGUAAUAAAUUACACAUAUAUAAGUCAAGCUUCUUUUAAUUUCACUUCUUACAAAAAGGUAAUGUAAUGCCAUUACAUCCACUAGUAGUGACUGAAAUUUACUGAUACAAAUGUUGAGUAGUAAGAACAGUAAACAGUAGGAAUGAUAAUAUUUAUUAAUAAGUCAUUCAUGUUAGUGAUGUUUUAGACAAUCAGAGUCGACUUUCGAAAAGCACCACAGGUUUUGAAUGUUCUUUUCUAGUGAUGAAUAGGCACUUUAUGCUGUUGGGACAAAAGACAAAAACAUAAUUUGGUUUAGUAUUCAGCAUAAAGUAAAACUAAAAAUGCUGCAAUGUUUGAAUACUUUUUCACUGCUACCAACUUCAUUUUCAUCAUCAUCAUGAACAGGUGUGUUUACUUCAAAGACUUAUUGUCACAUCCUCUCAGAGUCACGAUGAUGAUUAUUGGUUUUGGUGGUUAUAUUAAAAGAAUAAUCUGUGACA